GACGAACGCUGGCGGCGUGCCUUACACAUGCAAGUCGAACGGAAAGGCCUCUUUCGGGGGGUACCCGAGUGGCGAACGGGUGAGUAACACGUGAGUAACCGGCCCUUGACUUUGGGAUAACUUCAGGAAACUGGGGCUAAUACCGGAUAGGAGCUCCUGCUGCAUGGUGGUGGUUGGAAAGGUUCGGCGGUUGGGGAUGGACUUGCGGCUUACCAGCUUGUUGGUGGGGUAGGGGCUUACCAAGGCUUCGACGGGUAGCCGGCCUGAGAGGGUGACCGGCCACAUUGGGACUGGGAUACGGACCAGACUCCUACGGGAGGCAGCAGUGGGGAAUAUUGCACAAUGGGUGGGAGCCUGAUGCAGCAACGCCGUGUGCGGGAUGACGGCCUUCGGGUUGUAAACCGCUUUCGCUCAUGACGAAGCUUUGUGUGACGGUAGUGGGUAAAGAAGCACCGGCUAACUACGUG
rnacentral:rRNA from 1 species